AAUGCUGCAGUAGGGAGUUAGAUAAGCAUUGUGUUGAAAGCUGGAUCUUUGUUAUCAGUCCCUCUCAUACUGAGAUCUGAAAUACUUCAGCAAAUAAUUCAAAGCUGUUCUUCAAAACCUUAUCCCUGUGUAGGGUCACUAAGUAAAACUGAGGAGAGGUGGGAAUCCUGAUGAAUGAGAAGUUCUGAGAGAUGGCAGUGGUCUGUGGUCUUGGUGGAUCACUGUUAUCCACACUUUAAUUUCAGGUGUCCCUUUUGUAACACAGCAAAUUAACACACUAUUUUUGGUUCUCAAUAAAAGUGAUGCACAAAGUGCUAUACAUUUCUUUUCCUGUCAAUUCUGAUUGUUUUUUAUUCUGUUUUCUAACUUGUGUUUCAGUUUUCUACGGGGAAUCCAAUAUAUGAAACCUAUUACAAACAGGUAGAUCCAACAUACACAGGGAGAGUUGGGGCAAGUGAAGCUGCUCUGUUUCUUAAAAAAUCUGGUCUCUCUGAUAUCAUCCUUGGAAAAAUAUGGGAUUUGGCUGACCCAGAGGGUAAAGGAUACUUAGAUAAACAGGUAAAU